rnacentral:lncRNA from 1 species
UCCUACUUGCUCCGCUCUCCUCACAUUAGCUUCUUCGUCAUACUUAGUCGCCUCCAUCCACUGCCUCUCUACUUUUCUUCGAAUCUCUCUCUCUCCUUGCUGAAAGUUUCUCAGUUCCUCUAUGUAGCCCCCCUCUCUCACAUAUUACGUUGUGUUGUGACAUAUUUCGGCUCUCUCUCUCCCUCUCAUCCAUUAUUCGACAACUUGGGCGAGCCAAUUCGUACUCACUUUAGUGUUUUUUUUUAGUUACGUAGAUGUUUAAUUUUUUUUUUAUGUUUUUUGCCAGUAUGACAAAGGUUAAAAAGUGUUUCGGUAAUGAAUACUUAUUUUUACAUUUUUUCCAUCUUCUUAAGUUAUUUAUAAAGAUAAAUGAUCCUAUAAGACCUUCUCCCACCCCCGUGUGUAGGAUCCCAAAGGAUCACCAUUAAAUUUGAUAUGGAUCUCUAAAAAAGUCAAGUCUUACACUUAUGUGAUAAUUUUUUUAGAGAUCUGUGCCAAAUUUAAUGGUGAUCCUAUGAGGUUCUACACACAUGGGUGGGGGAGGGUCCUCUAAGAUCAUUAGGUUAUUUCUAAAAUAGCCCCUUCAUAAAUUGAUUGUUUCCAUCGUAAAUUGAUUUUUUUUUCAAGAUCUAUUAUCUCACUAUUUUUUAAACCUUAUUUAUAUGUAAUUUUUUUAGUUGUAAUACAAACAUAUUUUUCCUAUUUUUUGUAUUUUUCUUUUUUGACCACUUUUUUGCUUGGCUAGAAGUCCACCCAACUUGGGUUGAAUUACUCAUACUCAUUUGUCAGGCAUUGCCGAAGCACUCAUCUUGACCCACUUAAGGUCCCAACCAGGGACAUGGUCAAGGUCCUCUCGAAUCCCAUAAUCAACCCAAUCUAGUGAGUCAGUCUGGGGGAGUCUGUAACCCACAAGUCAGUUGGCCCUUCCCGGCUCGGGCACAUGCUCAGUUUCGACCCCAAUCGGUUCCACACCAAACCUAUCAAUGUCAGGUCCAAGCAGCCCAAACCUAUUGUCCACAAUCCUAGCCAAGUCGCGCUGCCACAUAAGCUCAAACCUACCAUGUGUCGGCUCAACCAACCCAAGUCGCACCACUCAUGCAAACACAGUAUCCACCGGUCCAGUCCCUCCCGACUAUGCCACAUGUCCAGCUUUGGUCAACCAAGCUAUACCACAGACCCAAGUGGGUCUUGUCCAUUACCCAGUCUAGUCAGUCCCAGUCAUACCACCAGUCCAAGCUAGUCCAUCGAUAUCAGGCAACCAACAAGCUAGGGUAACUCCAGUUGUCCAAUCGAAUGCGUUAGCUGACUUGAAGAGUAAACUAAGAAACUUUAAGCAUACCUUGGUGAAGAUAGGGUUUCCUGAUGUUAUCCCACAAAAAUAUUAUGUCAAGGGUAUCCUUGGAGAUGUCGAAAUUACUCCCAUCGGGUUUUGAAUUCCCCCCAAUUUGAAAACAAGUUUAUGCAAUGCGUGACCCUGAAAAUCAUGUCACCGCUUAACUUUUUCAUAUUCCAUAUCUUGAAGAUAGACCUUGCCGGCUAAAUGCAAUGUUUCAGUAUACCUUCUUAGGACAACCUCUAACUUGGUUCUGAGAGGUCUAACUCCCGAUGAGCUGUUUGAAUGUUUUGUCGAGAAAUAUCAUAGGACCAGAGAGCAACCAAUAACCCUUAGCGAAUUGGUCAUAACCCAGCAAAAUCCUGGUGGGUUGUUUAUGGACUUCAUUCAUGGGUUCAUGGAUGCUGCAUUAAAAGUCAUUAAUUACACACUCUCUGAGAGCUCUAGAUCAAUAUGGCUAUAGAAAAUGCAUCUUCUGAGUAUAAACUUUAUUUCAAUAAAAGCAUUCGACUUUCACUUGUGACUAAACGCUCGAAAUGGUUUUGCAGUAUGAGAGAGCAAAGGAAAUGGUCUAGGAUCAGUCACCAAUUAUAUUGGGGCAAGAGUUGGAUGAAGUCAUGAUGGAACAAGAACUUGACCACAAAUAAUAAGUGAAGAGUCUGACACCCAUCCAAAGUCAAAUCAGCAAGGCUUAAGGAUACAGAUGGAACUCAUUCAUGUGAAGCCAUGUAAUAUCAGAUGAUUCAACUAUUCCAUAUGAAGAUGAAGAAGUCCUAGCCGAUAUCAAUCUGAUAAAGACUGAUUAGUCAAGAUCGCUACCCAAUCCUGAAGAUCAUCCAAUAUGGCCUUGGGGCACGGGAAGAAACCGAUCCAAAAAUUUAGUAAGUGAAGAGCAAAAUGAUAAGAUUUCCCAAUUCCAUGUUUCUAGGGAAUUUCUGAACCCAAAUGAUGAGAAUUUUCUUAGCUCUAGAUCUAUUUCAUGGGGAGCUUCUAUAGAAUUAGAAAGGGCCAACACACAAAGGAUCUACAACUAAAACAGGUGUGGAGCUCCUCUAAGUCUUUUAUUUUUCCUGGAACAGUAGCGCUAUGACCUAAGUAUUAGGUCACUUCUAGAAAGAUCUGAUGUCCUUAUUAUUGGAGCAUUCUAAAGUGUAUACGGGUCUGAUGUCAUAAAUGUUAGAUUGGUAAAUUUAUAUUUUAGAACCUGUCCAAUGCCACAAACAUCAGCCAGUUGAUUAAUUAAGUUCCAAACUGGCCUGAUAAUUAGGAAAUUAGACUGAUCCUGAAAUGCCUUAAAACAUAGGACACACCCUUCUGUUCAAGAAAAGAAAAAAUUAAAUUAAAUAAAACCGUU